AGCAGUAGCCGCGGUAAUACGAGGGGGGCAAGCGUUGUUCGGAAUUAUUGGGCGUAAAGGGUGCGUAGGCGGUUUGGCAAGUCUUGUGUGAAAUCUUCGGGCUCAACCCGAAGCCUGCACGAGAAACUGCCGGGCUUGAGUAUUGGAGAGGUGAGUGGAAUUUCCGGUGUAGCGGUGAAAUGCGUAGAUAUCGGAAGGAACACCUGUGGCGAAAGCGGCUCACUGGACAAUAACUGACGCUGAUGCACGAAAGCUAGGGGAGCAAACAGGAUUAGAUACCCGGGUAGUCCCUGUCUCUUAUAC
rnacentral:rRNA from 1 species